UACAGAGGGGGCAAGCGUUGUUCGGAAUUACCGGGCGUAAAGGGCGCGUAGGCGGCCUUCUAAGUCAGACGUGAAAUCCCUCGGCUCAACCGGGGAACUGCGUCUGAUACUGGGAGGCUUGAAUCCGGGAGAGGAAUGCGGAAUUCCAGGUGUAGCGGUGAAAUGCGUAGAUAUCUGGAGGAACACCGGUGGCGAAGGCGGCAUUCUGGACCGGCAUUGACGCUGAGGCGCGAAAGCCAGGGGAGCAAACGGG
rnacentral:rRNA from 1 species